CAUCUCCAGAUUAAAGGUGUUUUCACACCGGUGGUCUGGUAGACUCGGUUUGAUUGGGGACCAAAACUGCAACAUUUGUUACAUGUUCAGCUGGUACGGUUCACUUUCACACUGCACUGUCAAACAAACCAAACCAUUUCAACAACCUGUUUCCCUAGUGCUGAGCCAAGAACAACUGCAGGAAACAACAUGAAAAUGUCUGAAAAAAACUCUGAGUGCAACUCGCUUCUUCACAGAAUGAAAAUAAAAAUGGAGUGGUGUGAGGUUUUAGCAGUUGCAGGAUUUCUCAUUUGUCUUUGGCAAAAGACCAAGAGCCAUUUCUCCUGCCACUGCUAGACUCUCACGUUUGUUUUGAUUGUAUUGCCCAGAAUGCCCUGAGCUAUAAUCCACUUCCUGCUUUUGAUCGUCUUGGUGUCCACAUUUGCAUUCGAAACACAUCAAAGUUCUCUUGAACUGAACCGAGACCUAGGUAUGUAAGCAGACCAGUUUUUGCUUUGUUGGUCCGCAUCACAGUUCGAUUAAGCAUUCACAUCUCCACAACCGAACUGGACCUUGUAGGCAAAGGAACUAGAGUUUGAUUAAAGUGGACUAAACCGGG